AGAGUUUGAUCAUGGCUCAGAUUGAACGCUGGCGGCAGGCCUAACACAUGCAAGUCGAGCGGUAGCACAGAGAGCUUGCUCUCGGGUGACGAGCGGCGGACGGGUGAGUAAUGUCUGGGAAACUGCCUGAUGGAGGGGGAUAACUACUGGAAACGGUAGCUAAUACCGCAUAAUGUCGCAAGACCAAAGUGGGGGACCUUCGGGCCUCAUGCCAUCAGAUGUGCCAAGAUGGGAUUAGCUAGUAGGUGGGGUAACGGCUCACCUAGGCGACGAUCCCUAGCUGGUCUGAGAGGAUGACCAGCCACACUGGAACUGAGACACGGUCCAGACUCCUACGGGAGGCAGCAGUGGGGAAUAUUGCACAAUGGGCGCAAGCCUGAUGCAGCCAUGCCGCGUGUGUGAAGAAGGCCUUCGGGUUGUAAAGCACUUUCAGCGGGGAGGAAGGCGAUAAGGUUAAUAACCUCAUCGAUUGACGUUACCCGCAGAAGAAGCACCGGCUAACUCCGUGCCAGCAGCCGCGGUAAUACGGAGGGUGCAAGCGUUAAUCGGAAUUACUGGGCGUAAAGCGCACGCAGGCGGUCUGUCAAGUCGGAUGUGAAAUCCCCGGGCUCAACCUGGGAACUGCAUUCGAAACUGGCAGGCUAGAGUCUUGUAGAGGGGGGUAGAAUUCCAGGUGUAGCGGUGAAAUGCGUAGAGAUCUGGAGGAAUACCGGUGGCGAAGGCGGCCCCCUGGACAAAGACUGACGCUCAGGUGCGAAAGCGUGGGGAGCAAACAGGAUUAGAUACCCUGGUAGUCCACGCCGUAAACGAUGUCGAUUUGGAGGUUGUGCCCUUGAGGCGUGGCUUCCGGAGCUAACGCGUUAAAUCGACCGCCUGGGGAGUACGGCCGCAAGGUUAAAACUCAAAUGAAUUGACGGGGGCCCGCACAAGCGGUGGAGCAUGUGGUUUAAUUCGAUGCAACGCGAAGAACCUUACCUGGUCUUGACAUCCACAGAACUUAGCAGAGAUGCUUUGGUGCCUUCGGGAACUGUGAGACAGGUGCUGCAUGGCUGUCGUCAGCUCGUGUUGUGAAAUGUUGGGUUAAGUCCCGCAACGAGCGCAACCCUUAUCCUUUGUUGCCAGCGGUCCGGCCGGGAACUCAAAGGAGACUGCCAGUGAUAAACUGGAGGAAGGUGGGGAUGACGUCAAGUCAUCAUGGCCCUUACGACCAGGGCUACACACGUGCUACAAUGGCAUAUACAAAGAGAAGCGACCUCGCGAGAGCAAGCGGACCUCAUAAAGUAUGUCGUAGUCCGGAUUGGAGUCUGCAACUCGACUCCAUGAAGUCGGAAUCGCUAGUAAUCGUAGAUCAGAAUGCUACGGUGAAUACGUUCCCGGGCCUUGUACACACCGCCCGUCACACCAUGGGAGUGGGUUGCAAAAGAAGUAGGUAGCUUAACCUUCGGGAGGGCGCUUACCACUUUGUGAUUCAUGACUGGGGUGAAGUCGUAACAAGGUAACCGUAGGGGAACCUGCGGUUGGAUCACCU
rnacentral:rRNA from 1 species